UGUUAAUCUAAUGAGGAAGAAUUGGUAAAAGACAAAUUCUCUGAACGCUGCUGCUCCUGCAUCCUGCUGCUCCACCUGCUGUGGGGAGGAGGGACCACUCCCUGAUAUGCUGCAGAUGCAAUUGAGCAGCCGCUUCAUUCCACAUGUCCGCAGCACCUUUCAUGGGCUUUGCUUUCCAGUUUCUACUUGGCCUUCCAGUGUCAGACAGUUUCUUGCACCUGACCCAUCCAGCUGAGGAUACAGAUGUCAAAAAAAAUAAAAUAAAAUAAACAUAGAAUUCAAGAC